ACCACUUCGUUUCUAUCUCCCUUCUCUCUUCCUCCCCAUUUCUAGCCAAAACCCUAAUCCCUUUCACCCUGCCAGAUCUUGCCCGCCCAUUUUGGGCAAGAGUUUUCAAUACUUUUUUUAUUCUCCCCAGCUAAUAGCAACGUUCAACAGCCGCACAUGAUCGCCUCUCUCAUCUCUGUCCUUUUGCAACAAAAAUCCAUUUCUUUCUUCAACCAUGGCAGAUCCUUGCCCCCCUUUUUCGUGCAAGUAGCUAUAUGGUCAACACAAGAGGCAAAGCAAACGUUUGAAAUCUGAUUUUAUACAGAGAAAAUCAAAAGCAUUUCAACCCGUGACACCCCUCAGAUGAAGCUGGCUGCUACACUUUUGGACCGUUCUUGAAUGGUUGUUUUGAAAUUCGAAACCUUUCACCUAAAUAUCGCGCCCAAAUCGAAAACCUAGGUUUCAUUUGCACCUAUAAAUAUUAUCUUAAUCGUUCAGCAGAAAAAACAACAAUCGGGAACAGAAUACUUUACCAUACUCAACAUUUCACCUUUCCACUACUAUUUUAAGUCCUAGCUUGUUCUAAUUCUACUCUGUUUCAAGUUCUUUCUAGCCGCUGAUGUCUUUCCUUGAAAAUAUCGAUUUCUUGAGUCUUAACAUUUUCGGGUAGCUUACUCCUACAUUUGACACGAUUCGAUAAAUCAUUCGAGUCUGCUCUUGAACAUUUCUGGAAAAUAAGAACUUCUGGAUUGUUGUAAUUCGAGUUUCGAAAUCUUUCGUCGUAUUCGAGAGUAGAUUCGAGGCCAUCGACACCCAGUUCACUGUACCCAAAACAGGUCAGAAAUCCUCCUUAUCUCUGCUUUAAAUUCUGUUCUAUACAGACUUAUGUAGCUAAGUUAGUUUAAUUUAGUGCGACUAUGACUUGGUAUGAUGAUUGGUUACUUGGUUGAGUACGUUGUAAUAAUCCAGUUCGUCGAGAUAUAGGAGCUACGUCAUGUGAUUAAUCUGCCUUAACGGAUUAUGUGUGUUAGUUUGGUUGGUUGUUUAGCACGUCGAUCAUUUCACUUAGUUAAGCAUGAAUAUGCAUUAAUUAGCUCAGUUCUUCUUUGUUCAGAAUGUUUAUGUGUUUGGCUGGAAUUUCAUUUGUUUUAGAAUCUAACAAGGAUCGAUGCCAUGUUUUGUCCGUAAACGCGUGCCUAACUUCAUUGCGCUUACAUCUAUCUUAUACUACACCCCAAUUAAUAUAAACAAGAGGCUAAAGACUGUUUGGCUUUAUACACGAAUACAGUACUUCUAAUUCUGUGUGUCAUGUGUUUAGGGAACUCGUUGGCUAUUUAUGAUGUGGAUGCUUUCGAAAUAGUGAUUAACAAAUACAUAGGCAUUUGGUAUUUUUUUUUCCAGACAGAACCGUGAUCUGAAUGUGCUUUAAAUUAUGUCUCCUUUUUAAUGGCUUUUGACUAAUGUUCUGUUUCCUUGCAUAAUCCAGCUUAAAUUCUGAAACUAUUUUCAAGUACCUUUAUCGAAAGUGACUCCCUACAUUCUUUAACUUAAUCAUGUGUUUAAACAAUCCUUAAAAAUCCUCCUUAUGUCUUGGUCUGCUUAUGGAAUUGAAGCUUGGUUUAUAAUUCCAUCCUUGCUUUCUUUCUCUUGUGUGAACUAGUGUAGGAUGCAACGUGGAGGCAGUUAGUGUGUUGGUGGUUUUGAUUAGUUUAAAUUAUCUCUAAAUUCAUAAAUAAGAUCUGGUUUGAUUGUGUGAGUAAUGGAUUUUUUCUUUAGGUUGAAACAUCUUGAAGUUUUAUUGUUUAAUCCUAUCUCUGUCAUGAGAUUCUUAUCAACACUCGAACUGCAGUCGCAGGGGUGGCCAUAACAUAUGGCAUUUACACUUCAGUCAAGAAAUAAUACAAGUGGAUCAGAUUUUGAUGUCUUCUUUCAUGCAUUUUUAGAGGUCAUACAUGUUUUUAUGUUUAGAGUUUAGAGGAGUUAGAAGUAUCUAUUUUUUCUUUCAACUGAGUGCAACUUUUUUUAUGCCAUAGCUAUACGUUCUAUCUUCAUAGUGUAUUUUAUAGUGUUUUCAUAGCAGCCCCUUUUGUUUGGUCUGAAAUUUGUUGAGUUCAUCAUAUGAUAAUUCUAUGCUAAUCUUUUUUUUUUUUUUACAUGUACACAUCGGAGAAAAUGGAGUCCCAAUUCGGGACUCAUCGUCUUCCGCAUUCGGUGUUGGGCCGAAGCCCAACGUAAUUUCUCUCGAGUCAGCCUCAUCAGCCAUCCGCAGCAAUAUAUUCAAGUUGCUGGGCCGAAGCCCCAACAGUAAACAGAUCGCAGCCUUAAAUGGGCCGAGCCCACUUAAGCAUACAUGUUUUCCGUUGCCCUAUUUUUUUUUUCUCGUGUAUCUGUUUGCUAACUUAUGUGUUUGUGUGCCGAAAAAUUAAUUGCUACAAGAUUGACAAUUAGAUUAUCUAAUUAUUUAGAUUUUUUGACUUCCCGA